AUCUCUCUCACCCAGCUCCUGAUAGGUCUACUGUGUUCCCCUCAUUCUUCAUUUCCACAGCUCUCUCCUCAUUUCACCCCUUUUUGUCACCUUCCAUUCACAGGCCUCUGUGCCCUUGAAAUUAAGUAAUCAAGCUAAAGGGUUGAGCGCUUGUGUCAUUAUUCUUAGACUACCGAAAAGCAUCCCCCGGAAGAUGAAAUGUAACCUACAGCAAAGCUACAGGCUAACAUUAUUUUAGCUCAUCGUUUCAAAGAGGUAAACACACUGUGUUAGGACACAGCGGCUGUUUUUUUCUUUUUUUUUUGUGUGAUAAUAUUUUGUGCAUCAGUAGACCACAGACGCUUUAGAGGCCGUAAAAUAUGUAUGCGGCUGAAAUUAUAAAUGACAGGAAUCCGGAUGAGAGAGGCAAUAGGCACACAUUCUUUUUUGGAGCUAGGAGUAAUUGUUCUGUGAAGAACCCAGAUGGCUGCUCCGCUGUCUGUCAACCGCAUUCCUGUGUUUCUGUCUUUCCCCCUUAAAUGUUCUCUCUCACCUCACAUACCUCACACCAACACACGAUUCCCGUUGUUUCAUCCUCUUUAACAGUCACAUCACCUUAGUAUUUCAGAAUCCAAAACAUCAAUCAAUUCAAUUCAACAAGCUAAUGACAUUACGCCACAUUACAAUACGAGACAGGAGUUUGGAUGACAAGAGUUCAUGCAGUGAAUGAGAUGCAAUGUUGCAUAUUUAACGUCUCCAAUAACAAAUGCGCAGACUGCAGAGGAUGCACCAGCACUGAAAGUUGACAGGCAUCCAGAUUAGAGAGAAGGCAACAGGCUCCCCACAUGGUUUCCUGCACCAGGAGGCCUGGUUCCUCUGUGGGGAACCCAGGUGGCUAGGCUGGCUGGGCUGCUGACUUUCUCAGGCUCUCUGCUGGAGAGAAGCAGAAAGCCCUGACACACUGAGACCACCAGAUGAUAACACUUAUGUAAGUCACAGCGAUGUUAUUAUUAUUAUUAUUUUUUUUUUUUACAUUUCUACUGAUUAGUCUUAGGGAGGUUGAUUAGAGUAAACAAGUAAAGGAUUAUGGAAGACAUCGGCGUGCUCCAUUGUGGUAUGUUGUGUUUUAGUCAAUCCUCUUAAAUGCAUUUCAAAUUGAUCUUUUUCAGUGAAUGAGGGGGUAAGUUUAAGAAUACAUCUGGUUCGGCUUUUUAUACAUAGCAGCGUAUGCUGUGUUGUGAACCACACUAAAGAAUAAUUGCUUAUUCAGGUCAGACAUUUGUUUGAAUUUUUCAUUUCCCUGUAAUUCUGGUAGGUUGUCGUAUCCAUACACGAUAGCAGUUUGUUCUGUGAUAUUAUAUUGUAUCCUUUACUUUACCCAUGCCUCAAAAAC
ensembl:lncRNA